rnacentral:rRNA from 1 species
UGCCAGCAGCCGCGGUAAUACGUAAGGAGCAAGCGUUGUUCGGAAUUAUUGGGCGUAAAGGGCGCGCAGGCGGUUCGUUAAGUCUGAUGUGAAAGCCCGGGGCUCAACCCCGGAAGUGCAUUGGAAACUGGCGAACUUGAGUACGGGAGAGGAAAGUGGAAUUCCGAGUGUAGGGGUGAAAUUCGUAGAUAUCAGGAGGAACACCGAUGGCGAAGGCAUCUCUCUGGGCCGAUAUUGACGCUGAGGCGCGAAGGCGUGGGUAGCGAACGGGAUUAGAUA